rnacentral:rRNA from 1 species
GAUGAACGCUGGCGGCGUGCCUAAUACAUGCAAGUCGAGCGAACAGACGAGGAGCUUGCUCCUCUGACGUUAGCGGCGGACGGGUGAGUAGCACGUGGAUAACCUACCUAUAAGACUGGGAUAACUUCGGGAAACCGGAGCUAAUACCGGAUAAUAUAUUGAACCGCAUGGUUCAAUAGUGAAAGACGGUUUUGCUGUUACUUAUAGAUGGAUCCGCGCCGCAUUAGCUAGUUGGUAAGGUAACGGCUUACCAAGGCAACGAUGCGUAGCCGACCUGAGAGGGUGAUCGGCCACAAUGGAACUGAGACACGGUCCAGACUCCUACGGGAGGCAGCAGUAGGGACUCUUCCGCAAUGGGCGAAAGCCUGACGGAGCAACGCCGCGUGAGUGAUGAAGGUCUUCGGAUCGUAAAACUCUGUUAUUAGGGAAGAACAAAUGUGUAAGUAACUAUGCACGUCUUGACGGUACCUAAUCAGAAAGCCACGGCUAACUACGUG